CAGGCAUCAAGACAGAAGCCACAGCACGAGACGAGCUCCAGCAAAAGCUUGGUAUCCGCAUAGUGCAGGCAGGACUCAUCGUGCUUCCAGAGCAGCCGUGGUUGUGCUGCAGCCCAGAUGGCCUUGCGAAAAUGGGCGGUGAAACUGUGCUUAUCGAAAUUAAGUGUACAUACAAGCACAAACAGGAACCUUUCAUCAAAUACGAAGAAAGACUAAGCUUGCUUCCCUAUUUAGAGUUCAGUGGGGGCCUGAUUAUUCUCAAAACGACGCACAGCUAUUAUACACAAAUUCAGGUACAAAUGUACGCCCUGAAUUUGUACAGGGCUCUUCUUUAUGUGUACAGUCCCAAACACUCUGUAAUAGUGCAUGUAAAUCGGGACGAUGCUUUUCUGUGGGACCUUAUACACAAGUUGGAACGUUUUUAUAUCAAAUUUCUUAUUCCGUCAUUGUUGUAAGUUUCUGUGCUUUCAUUUCUGAACUGGUGCAUGAUAUAUUUUUGAAAUUGAACUUGCGCAUUUGUAUAAAUUAAAUUUUUUGUAUAUUUGAUUUCACAGUAAUCCUGUAGUGAAACCAACUUUUGCAUCUUGUAUUUAAGAAUGAGGUUAUAUGUGUAUUUGAGCGGUGUAGUAGCCCCAUUAAACAAUACCUCGCGAAAUCA